AGAAUCAACGCUGGCGGCGUGCCUAACACAUGCAAGUCGCACGAGAAAGGGGAGCAAUCCCUGAGUAAAGUGGCGCACGGGUGAGUAACACGUGAAUAAUCUACCUCCGAGUGGGGAAUAACUGAGAGAAAUCUUAGCUAAUACCGCAUAACACUUACGAGUCAAAGCAGCAAUGCGCUUGGAGAGGAGUUCGCGGCCGAUUAGUUAGUUGGCGGGGUAAUGGCCCACCAAGACGAUGAUCGGUAUCCGGCCUGAGAGGGCGCACGGACACACUGGAACUGAAACACGGUCCAGACUCCUACGGAGGCAGCAGUGGGGAAUUUUGCGCAAUGGGGGAAACCCUGACGCAGCAACGCCGCGUGGAGGAUGAAGCCCCUUGGGGUGUAAACUCCUUUCGAUCGGGAAGAUAAUGACGGUACCGAUAUAAGAAGCCCGGCUAACUUCGCGCCAGCAGCCGC
rnacentral:rRNA from 1 species